UAGGUUCGUUCUUCCGYAGCUAMCAUGCAGUCGAACGAUGAUCCGGUGCUUGCAUCGGGGAUUAGUGGCGAACGGGUGAGUAACACGUGAGUAACCUGCCCUUAACUUCGGGAUAAGCCUGGGAAACCGGGUCUAAUACUGGAUAUGACUGCUGGCCGCAUGGUCUGGUGGUGGAAAGCUUUAUGCGGUUUUGGAUGGACUCGCGGCCUAUCAGCUUGUUGGUGAGGUAAUGGCUUACCAAGGCGACGACGGGUAGCCGGCCUGAGAGGGUGACCGGCCACACUGGGACUGAGACACGGCCCAGACUCCUACGGGAGGCAGCAGUGGGGAAUAUUGCACAAUGGGCGAAAGCCUGAUGCAGCGACGCCGCGUGAGGGAUGAAUGCCUUCGGGUUGUAAACCUCUUUCAGUAGGGAAGAAGCCGCUUCGGCGGUGACGGUACUUGCAGAAGAAGCGCCGGCUAACUACGUGCCAGCAGCCGCGGUAAUACGUAGGGCGCAAGCGUUAUCCGGAAUUAUUGGGCGUAAAGAGCUCGUAGGCGGUUUGUCGCGUCUGCUGUGAAAGCCCGGGGCUCAACCCCGGGUCUGCAGUGGGUACGGGCAGACUGGAGUGCAGUAGGGGAGACUGGAAUUCCUGGUGUAGCGGUGAAAUGCGCAGAUAUCAGGAGGAACACCGAUGGCGAAGGCAGGUCUCUGGGCUGUUACUGACGCUGAGGAGCGAAAGCAUGGGGAGCGAACAGGAUUAGAUACCCUGGUAGUCCAUGCCGUAAACGUUGGGCACUAGGUGUGGGGGACAUUCCACGUUUUCCGCGCCGUAGCUAACGCAUUAAGUGCCCCGCCUGGGGAGUACGGCCGCAAGGCUAAAACUCAAAGGAAUUGACGGGGGGCCCGCACAAGCGGCGGAGCAUGCGGAUUAAUUCGAUGCAACGCGAAGAACCUUACCAAGGCUUGACAUGUACUGGUAACGCCUGGAAACAGGUGCCCCCUUUUGGGCCGGUAUACAGGUGGUGCAUGGGUUGUCGUCAGCUCGUGUCGUGAGAUGUUGGGGUUAGUCCCGCACGGAGCGCACCCUCGUUCUAUGUGCAGCGCGUAUGGCGGGACUCAUAGGAACUGCUGGGUYCACUCGGAGAGGUGGGACGACGUCGAUCAUCAKGCCCCC
rnacentral:rRNA from 1 species